rnacentral:sRNA from 1 species
ACGAGGCCCCCGGUUGACUAGGAGCUGGCGGUCCGAGCUGUGGCUUGGAAGACCGAAGCGAUGAAGCCCAGACCUGCAGGGUUCGUGGAUAAUAAACUCAAGCAGCGAGUCAUCCAGUAUAGACUAUGGUCGAAGAAAAAGAAAUGCUUUUAGGAUUCAGGUAGAAAAAGUAUUUAGCAUAAUUAGUAGUGAGAAGGAACUUAAGAAUUUAACAGAAUUAGAAGAUGAACAUUUGGCAAAAAGGGCAAGACAAGGUGAAGAGGAUAAUGAUCAGCAAAUCACAUGAACAGUUCCCUGCUGUCUUUAUAUCGGAAAGGAAAUCCUGAUUCUGUUUCAAAUACUCCUGAGAUGGAGCAAAGAGAAACCACCUCUUCAACACCACGGAUAAGUUCCAAAACAGGCUCCAUUCCCUUGAAGACCCCUGCCAAAGAUUCUGAGGGAGGAUGGUUUAUUGACAAAACCCCAAGUGGAAAGAAAGACAGUUUUUUCUUGGACCUGUCAUGUGAGAAAAGUAAUCCUAAGAAGCCAAUAACUGAGAUACAGGUAUU